GACUCUCGGCAACGGAUAUCUCGGCUCUCGCAUCGAUGAAGAACGUAGCGAAAUGCGAUACUUGGUGUGAAUUGCAGAAUCCCGUGAACCAUCGAGUCUUUGAACGCAAGUUGCGCCCGAAGCCGUUAGCCGAGGGCACGUCUGCCUGGGCGUCA
rfam:Ipomoea nil DNA, scaffold: scaffold1301, cultivar: Tokyo-kokei standard.